CGAACGGGUGAGUAACACGUGAAUAAUCUGUCCUUACGUUCCGGAUAAUUGGCCGAAAGGCCUUGUAAUACGGGCGAGGGUCACCUGGAGGCAUCUUCGGGUGAAGGAAGGGGAAACCCGCGCAAGGAGGAAUUCGCGGCCUAUCAGUUAGUUGGUGAGGUAAUGGCUCACCAAGACGACGACGGGUAGCUGGUCUGAGAGGAUGGUCAGCCACAUUGGAACUGAGACACUGUCCAG
rnacentral:rRNA from 1 species